rnacentral:tRNA from 1 species
GGGAAUGUGGCUUAGUCGUAGAGUGCUUGCCUAGCAUGCAUGAAGCCCUGAGUUCAAUUCCUCAGUACCA